GAACUUGAGAGUUUGAUCCUGGCUCAGAGCGAACGCUGGCGGCAUGCUUAACACAUGCAAGUCGCACGGGUGGUUUCGGCCAUCAGUGGCGG
rnacentral:rRNA from 1 species